rnacentral:misc_RNA from 1 species
AAGCUUGAGCAGGCUUGACACUCUGUUUACUGGAAAGCUGCCAGAAAAUUAUGCCAAUCUUACAUCUCUGCAGACUUUUUCAAUAGCUGGAAAUAGUUUCACUGGCAAUAUACCUAAGUUCUUUGCAAAAUGGACCAAUCUCGAAGAUCUGAUUCUUACUGGAAAUGAUUUUGAGGGGAAGCUGCCUUUGGAAAUUUUUAAUUUAUCAAAUCUUACUUCUUUGAAGAUUAGUGAUCUAAGGAAUUCUGGUUUCUCUUUUCCAAAAUAUGCAAAUAUGACAAAACUAAAGACUUUGGUAUUGAGGAAUUGCUCAAUAACUGGUCGAAUUCCUCAGUACAUUGGAGAUUGGCCUUCAUUAACUUACCUUGAUUUGAGCUUCAACAGUUUAGUUGGUGAGCUUCCAGAUACUAUGAAGAACAAACAUUUAAGUAGUUUGUUUCUCACAAGAAAUAUGCUUACGGGGUCGAUUCCUUCCUGGAUUUCUAGCGUCAUCAAUGAUGAAGCGGAUUUAUCAUAUAACAAU